GUGCUUGCUUACCACAUAUACUAAAAUUGGAAUGAUACAGAGAAGAUUAUCAUGGCCCCUGCGCAAGGAUGACACACAGAUUCAUGAAGCAUUCCAUAAAACA
rnacentral:snRNA from 1 species